CAACGAACUUCAACUGUUCAACAGUCCCUUGCACUGAAGUCUGCUGCUAUUCAUUAGCUUUGUUUUAUUUUUAGGAUUGUUUUAAUUUUGUUGGCAUUUAUUUGCUUUUCGUCUGAAAAAGUAUGGUGCAAAUAAGUCAGUGAAGGGCACUCUUGGAAUUGCAGGGGCCUCUGUGUGCUCAGCAGUCAGACUAAGCUGAGCAUCGGUAUUAUUUUAGACGUCUCAAUGAAAUUGGGGGUCAUUUACCCUUACUGGCUAGGAAAAGAAGACCAUCUUUUGUCAAGAAAGCAGCUCCUUUAAUACAUAUAAGAACUACACACCCAUCAGUGGUAACAUAGAUCAUGGGUAGGCAAACUAAGGCCCGGGGGUCGGAUCCGGCCCAAUUGCCUUCUAAAUACGGCCUGUGGACGGUCCAGGAAUCAGCGUGUUUUUACAUGAGUAGAAUGUGUCCUUUUAUUUAAAAUGCGUCUCUGGGUUAUUUGUGGGGCGUAGGAAUUCAUUCAUACAGUAUAUUUUUUUCAAAAUAUAGUCCGGCCCCCCAUAAGGCCUGAGGGAGAGUGGACCGGCCCCCUGCUGAAAAAGUUUGCUGACCCCUGAUGUAGAUCUUCUGUAGCUCUUCCCUCUGUGUGUUCAGUCUGCGUGUGAUUGGGCAAUGCCUCCUGUGCCUUCCUCCCAGUCGCCGCAUGUUCACUGGAAGCAUGAAGGAAAUUCAAUGCAUGCACAUGACACCCAGGCACAUAGCACCUAUCAUUCCUUUUGCUCAACACAUCAAGGUUGGAAAUGGGGCUUCAGGCGCAUCCCUGGACCCUAGUCAUGCGCUGACUGAAGUCGUGGAAGGGGAGAGAACAGGGUCCGUUUCUUGCAUCAGACAGGGUCAAAACGAGAGUGCUUAUCAGUGCCUUUAAAUAUGACGCUUGUGUGUAUUACUAUAUAACGCCAUUGCACUUUAUGGAGUAACAAAGACAGGCGCUCGGCCUGAGCAGUUAGCAAUCUAAAAUUUGAAACGGGGGAAAGAGGGGAUAAAGAUGGCGGAUGAGGGUAAUUGGAAGCAUACGCUUACUUUGGUCACACAUACUUGGCUUUGCCAUCACAGGUGUUUUUGGGGAAAGAUUUGAAGGAGAAGAAAAGCACAGAUAAGUGUUCUAGGAGGGAGGUUUAGCUGUGAGAAGCAGCAAGGAGGAAGGGCAGAGUUAUUUGAGGUAGCAGGAAACCUUCAGGCAACUGAGAACAGCGACGUUGGUGGCUUUUACGGUAAGGAAAGGGACCUUUUGACGGAUCCAUGAGGAUUUCAGGAAGGCUCUCCCGUGGUCUGAAGGUGAAAAGAGACGGGUGGUUUUGGUGGCAGAAUUCUGGGUGGAGGUGAGAAGGCCAAGGUGUGGUACUAGAAAGUCGGAUAGGAGGUUGUGACGGUAGAAGAGGAGGGAGAUGAAACAGGUACCAUAUAAAACAAGGGUGAGGAACUGCCAGCCUGCAGUAUGGGGCUUCUGUUUCUGGCUUGUGAAAAGCCUUCUGCUGGAGGCCACACAUACCCACCCACCCCGUCAAUUUGGUUUGUGAAAAGCCGUCUCUUGGGGUUUGCCUUUCCUGUGUGCUGUGCCUACUUGCCCAAAAGGCUGUCCUGCCGCAGUGUGAUAAUGGGCGGUGGCAGGGGGAAGCCUGUUUUCCAAGGCUAAUGGUUAUGGAGAGGAUCUUCCUGGAGAAUGCAGUAGAAGAAGCUGGGGAUGAUGGGAGGGAGAGACCAGAACAUACUGUGGGACAUCAGGUUGGCAUCGGCUGUAAUACAGAAAUAGUUUUACAAGUUAGUGGCCUGCCCUAAACAACUUAAGCAGCACAGCAUAUAUAAUAAUCUGUCAAGAGUUAUUGACACAUAAAUUCAGGUAGUAUUUGCUGAAAGCAGAUGGGUAAUAAACGUACUCAAAUGUAUAUCAUUUCUCAGAUUCUACUACUAAUAAUUCCCUCAUACAUGAGCCAAUGUGUUAAUGUUAAUGUUUAUUAUUAUUGUUAUUUGUAUGUAACCUAUGUGGCCAAUGUAUUUUUGAACCGCCUUGUGUGUAGCAAUAUAGAAAGGCGGUAUACAAAUUAGAAGUGAAAUGAAAUUAAAUGAACAAAUAGCACAUUCUGUCAAGACAGAAAACAUCUCCCCUUCAUUAAUGUUGCAAAAUGUACUAAGAAUCUUGAUUAAAAGCUAUAGAACUGAGUUUUUUUGUGAUGGUUUUCAUAUGAUACACCACUGCUCCACGAUACUGUAGAUUAGGGAGAUGAUGGUUCCUAUCUCUUGAUGAUAAUUGUUCUUAGUUUGCCAUAAUAAUCAUUCUAGCGAGUUUAUUUUAUGCACCUUUGAAUAAAACACCUUGGAAUAGUGCAAACACCUUUGAAAAUGUUGCACUGGGAGCUGGGUAAGAUCAAUAUAGACUCUCACCUAGGGAAUCAAGUCAUGGAUGUAUUUCUCAGUUUUGUCCUGCCAAAUAAAUAAAGCUGUGCGUGUGAAAGC